UCACCAUAAUCCCUCAAGUCCAGCUUGCACAUGAUUGUUCUUCCUCCAACUUGCAAAAUUUCUCUGCUCUGAGACUUUCUUUCUCCUUUUUUUAAAGAUUGUUUUAUCACACUCUUGAUCACUCACUCUCAUUUACCAAAGGUUUAGUCCAUAGUCUUCUUUUCCACCACAAGGUUUGCACUCACAGAAAACAUUUUCAUACCCAUAGAGAUCCAUCCAAUACCUUCACCUCUACAUAUCUCUAUCUUUUCAGAUCCACUCCAUCAGCAUCUAUUUUCAUGGACAUUCCUUGGACUCUAAAUACCAAAAAACAGAACCAUCUCCAAAAAUACUAAUUUAAACCUGCUCUCACUGAGUAUAUGAACCAAAACUCCUAGUAUUCUUUGAAAAGUUAAAAGCCUACUUUAUUUUUCCCUUUAUUUUCACCCUGAUUUUAGUUUUACUUACCUUCAUAUUCAGUUGAUGUUCCAUUAUUACUUAGGUAAUACAAGAGUCACAUUUUUUUCUCAUCCCUGUGGUUUCUUCUCCCUCCACUAUAUUUGGGAAGUGAAGCCAGCAGAAAGCUUGUCUCAUGUACUCUCUCAGUAUUACUACCUGCUCCUGCUGCUCCCCAGGGUAUGUUUAUCUUGCCUCUGUGAUAGCCACCUCCACAAAUUUCCUCAAGGUCAGCAGCAGCUCAGAGGUUACAGAUCUUUGGCAUCAUCGUUUACAAUGCUCUUGAGCCAUUAUAGUGAGAGCGGAGGAAAGCAGAGGAAUGGUCUGGCAGUUUUCACAGAGCCCUCAAUUUCCCUCCUCCACCUCCACCUCCACCAAUCGUUGAGUUAGUUGAAUUUCUCAGAACUUAUCAAGGUGUUCUCAAAGGUACAACACAAUAAACCUCCUGCCUGAUAAUAAUAGAGUUUUAGAAUCUGUUUCCCUGGGAACCUGAACUACAACAGUUGCUACCAGAAGUGAUCCAAGAAAGUAGACUCAAGAAUGGAAGUACGGGCUGAAUAACCUUCUGUGCAGCUGGCAAGGAAGCGCCUACUACUAGUGGGACAUGGAAGGAGAAAAAUUGGAAGAUCAGAGUCAAGGAGAACUGUGAAAGAGGCAUAUAGAUACAACCAGGGAAGAAUACACAAAGUGUGAAGGGGUUUAUGUCAUGUUAAUGCCCACCAGAGAACAUCUACAAUGUAACAAGUAUGAACAACUGAACAGAAGAGAAUGACUCAGUCAGCUUGUCUUUGGUCAUCCCAAGGCAAGUGUAAUAGACUCCUGAACAGAGUAAUCAUUGGGUAGAGAUGAAGACUAUACAUGCGAUCAACAGUAUCUUUUCCCUACCCAAUAAGAUUGAUCUGAUCCUUGAGCUACCAAAUAUCCAGUCUACCAGCAAAAGAGACAAAUGCUGAACCCUUGAUAUAUCAUCAAACAACUAGUCACUUGGAAGCAAAAUGAUUUCUCUGGACCCUUUCCAUUCUGGAAUAGAGAGAAAUUCAUCUGGAGUGUCAUUAACACAGACUCUAAUAAUGGGUUUGGUUUUAUGCCUGGUAAAGUCCAGCAAACCCACUGCAUAAGAGCUUAAAGAAUUUUAAAUCACUGACAUAGAAUCUCACAUAAAUUCAGUUAAACUAAAAGGCUCACUUUAAAGUAAAGCAAUAGGCACAUGAUUUGGGGAUUAACAGGUCCUGUCAUGUACUGUAUCACUCAAAAAUUACUGCACUGGUGGAGUAGCAGAAGAACCUUUAAAUGUGAUUCAAAGGCUUCAUCUUGGAGAUGGUAACAUACAAGGAUGGGGUGCCAUGUUCUAGAUUGUGAUAUACAUCCUAAAAUAUGGUACUAUACCCCCCAAUAAUCAGAAUACAUAAGUGUGUAGAAUUAGUCAUAGAAGUAUUACUCCACAGAUAAUCAUUUCCAGUGACUCCCUUAGGAGUAGCUUCUGUCCAUCCACAUCUGUGGACUCUGUGUGUCUGUGCUGCCUGGUAUAAUUGAAGCUGACAACAAGGAUAAGGUAGUACAAUGGGGAUAGUGAAUAUUGUAACAGGCUAGAUACUUAGAUGAUAUAUUAAAGUUAUCUGAUGAAAUUCUCCUGUGCAGUCUGAAGGUAAAUUGAUAAGAGCAGCAGCCCAUUCUUAGAGAUGAUUAAGGAAAUAGUAGAACUUUUAAGAAAAUAGUCUGGUUCACUCCACCAGAUCAGCUACGAUGCCAGCAGAGUUUCUAAUCAAGGGUCAUAGCCAGUUUUUAGUUAUAAAUAUCAGUUAUAGCUUCCAGAAUAAUUGCUUUAGUCACCCUUCCUCAGAUAAGUUUUCCCAAAAAGUAGACUAAUCAAGAUCUUGGAAGAACUGUUCCCAAAUGAAGUAUCCUACUAUAUGAGGCAAAUGGAUUCAAGAACAAAACUAAUGGACUAGUGUUGAUACUGGGAUGUACUCUCAGAUCUCAUUUCAUAGCAAGUCGGGUAUUUUUCUAACUGCUGGGAGUAUUGGCUGCUAGGGGCUCACAGUUGUGUCUCUCUAGGAUUUGCUGUUGACCUAAGGAAUAUGCCUCAUUAAAGGUUAUACACCCUCCUUGGGAGAGCUCAUAUCUGAGAUCUGUAGGCAUACAGAGGUCUUAUCCUCUUGUUUCUACUAGUGAUAAUUUGGAGGGACUUUUAGAUUCAGAGUUCCCUAUAGGUUUGGAUGAAGCCACUGUUCUAAUUUCCCCAUCAAAGUUCAGCUUCCCUUAUUCUCUCCUGGGUUUGACCCAAGAACAUUCCAUAAUAAGCACUUCCCAACCACAAAUAUCAGUCUUGAAGUCUAAUUCUUGAGGUACCUAACCUGUAAUAUAUGCACAACAUACUUUCCAGUGUCUCAUUCACAUUCAUUCCAUCUCUGGUCUCUAUCUUCCACUCCAGAAAGCCCAGCUACUCCUGCCUUUGUGAAUAAAAGGACAGAUGAAUAACCUAA